UCAAUAAGCGGAGGAAAAGAACCAACAGGGAUUGCCCUAGUAACGGCGAGUGAAGCGGCAACAGCUCAAAUUUGAAAUCUGGCUUCGGCCCGAGUUGUAAUUUGCAGAGGAUGUUUAUGGUGCGGUACCUUCCGAGUUUCCCUGGAACGGGACGCCACAGAGGGUGAGAGCCCCGUCUGGUUGGAUACCAAACCUGUGUUAAACUCCUUCAACGAGUCGAGUAGUUUGGGAAUGCUGCUCUAAAUGGGAGGUAAAUCUCUUCUAAAGCUAAAUACCGGCCAGAGACCGAUAGCGCACAAGUAGAGUGAUCGAAAGAUGAAAAGCACCUUGAAAAGGGGGUUAAACAGUACGUGAAAUUGUUAAAAGGGAAGCGUUUAUGACCAGACUUGUGUCGUGUGGCUCAUCCGAGGUUCUCCCCGGUGCACUCCACACGGCUCAGGCCAACAUCGGUUUUCGUUGGGGGAUAAGAACAGCAGGAACGUGGCCCUUCUCGGAGGGUGUUAUAGCCUGCUGUACGAUACCCUGAUGGGGACCGAGGACCGCGCUUCGGCUAGGAUGUUGGCGUAAUGGUCAUUAGCGACCCGUCUUGAAACACGGACCAAGGAGUCGUCCAUUAGAGCGAGCGUUUGGGUGUAAAACCCGCACGCGUAAUGAAAGUGAAAUUAGGUGAGAGCUUCGGCGCAUCAUCGACCGAUCCUGAAGUUUACGGAUGGAUUUGAGUAAGAGUUUUAACGGACGGACCCGAAAGACAGUGAACUAUGCUUGAAUAGGGUGAAGCCAGAGGAAACUCUGGUGGAGGCUCGCAGCGGUUCUGACGUGCAAUCGAUCGUCAAAUUUGAGCAUGGGGGCGAAAGACUAAUCGAACUGUCUAGUAGCUGGUUACCGCCGAU
rnacentral:rRNA from 1 species